rnacentral:rRNA from 1 species
AUACGUAGGGGGCGAGCGUUGUCCGGAAUUAUUGGGCGUAAAGGGCGCGUAGGCGGCUUUGCAAGUCAGUAGUGGAAGUCCAUUUUUCAAGGAUGGAAGUGCUACGGAAACUGCGGAGCUUGAGUGCAGGAGAGGUUAUCGGAAUCCCGGGGGAGCGGUGAAAUGCGGGGAGAUCGGGAGGAACACCAGUGGCGAAGGCGGGUAACUGGACUGCAACUGACGCUGAGGCGCGAAAGUGUGGGGAGCAAACAUGAUUAGAUACCCUGGUAGUCCACACUGUAAACGAUGAAUGCUAGGUGUAGGAGGUAUCGACCCCUUCUGUGCCGCAGUAAACACAGUAAGCAUUCCGCCUGGGGAGUACGGUCGCAAGAUUAAAACUCAAAGGAAUUGACGGGG